CCUACGGGUGGCAGCAGUGGGGAAUAUUGCACAAUGGGGGAAACCCUGAUGCAGCGACGCCGCGUGAGUGAAGAAGUAUUUCGGUAUGCAAAGCUCUAUCAGCAGGGAAGAAAAUGACGGUACCUGAAUAAGAAGCUCCGGCUAAAUACGUGCCACCAGCCGCGGUAAUACGUAGGGGGCAAGCGUUAGCCGGAUUUACUGGGUGGAAAGGGAGCGUAGUCGGCAGCACAAGUCUGGAGUGAAAUGCCGGAGCUUAACCCCGGAACUGCUUUGGAACCUGUGCAGCUAGAGUGCAGGAGAGGUAAGUGGAAUUCCUAGUGUAGCGGUGAAAUGCGUAGAUAUUAGGAGGAACACCAGUGGCGAAGGCGGCUUACUGGACUGUAACUGACGUUGAGGCUCGAAAGCGUGGGGAGCAAACAGGAUUAGAUACCCCUGUAGUC
rnacentral:rRNA from 1 species